ensembl:snoRNA
CGCAUCUGAUGAUGAAGCUGCAUAGGGCAGAUUCUGAGCUGAGAGGCAGAGCCCCUUAGCGCUGAUCCUCAGCUUAUGCGGGCUGAAGGUGCG